ACCUUCUACAAGAAACAUACAGAGAGAUACAAGUAAGGAAUGAUACUUCACGUUUCCCGGUCAUUUAUUUUUAGUCGAACAAACAUGGCGAUUCUAUUCACUUCGAAAGCGCGGGAAAAAUGGCAUGUUGCAUUGAUCAUUGCAUCGAUAUAGAAGUAAUGUUUCAUGGUGAUGGAUACACGAAAUUUAUUUAUGUUUGUUUGUAGAACAUUGUACAACAUCAUAAUAAAAAUGCCUAAAUCCUUACACAAAUCACAUUCUUUCUUCCUUUAUUAGAAUAAGCAUCAAUACUCUAACUUUAGUGACUACACGACCUCCGAAUAUCGAACUUGUUUAUAGAUUACCUAUUAGCGAUUCUAAAAUUUUCCACAUCACGCCCCCUUUUUACUAUUUCAUGAAAUUCUGAACUUCUUUCAAUAUACUCAAAGGAGGCGCCACCGGUUUAAUAGAAAUUAACAAAUAUGCUAACGAUUGUCAAUCAAGUGUAUCACAUAUUUUGCGAGAAGUAAACGUGAGUUUUACGUGUAACAAAUUAUUGUGUUUUCGUAAUUAAAUUUUCGCGAAAGAUUCGAAAAUAUGACAAUUACCACGUAGUUUUACGACCGCAUCAUAAUAAUAUUUUUCAUUUAUAAAAAUAAUCGGUGAUAAGUAUCAAAUAAAUUACGAAUAAUAAAAAUUACGCAGUCAAAAUGGUGAAAAUCGAUCCACGUGAUUAUCGAAAACGAAAGGAACCGCAUUAAAUUACCAGUGCCCUUUUUAUAUUAGCACAAUACAUGUAACUAGUGCUUGAAUUGAGUGCCUCUUCUCCGUACCAGUACCCUCGAGCCGAUUUCACGACUUUAUCGAUGUUGAUAUUCCUGAAAAGCACGCAUAUAUGUACAGUAUAGUUUGUGGUAAUUUUACCGCGCUUUUCUAAUUCGAGAUCUCGUUUCGCCGCCAUUAUGAUAAACGCGCGCAGUUGUGAUAAAACGAAAUGACAAUAAAAUUAAUGGCGUUAAUAAUCGAAAAGUGUAUUAAUUGUGCUGUUACUACGAAUACUGGGUCCUUUUAGAUUUAGAAGAAUUAACCCAUUAACUGAGCACUCUUGGGACACGCUUGGCUGAACGUUAAUGCAGCAUUCUAUUUUAUACGAGCCUGCAAACUGCACAAUGGUCUCUCGUCGGUUAACACAUCAGUGGACGGAACAUGGCGCCGAAAAUGGAGCAAUUCAAUAGCAUUCCUGCAAUAUUUGCAACGAGAGCGUCUAAAUCAAAAGACUUCUCUAUUAUAUAUACGUGAAAUUUUUUUUUUUUUUGCUUCUUUGAUACCAUAAAAGGAAGAGGCUUUAUAUCAAUCUUGAAUUGAAACGAUAUUCCAACCUUUAAAAAAGAAAUGAACGCGUUAAGAUGAAGGAUUUAUUAAAAAUGGAUAUGAUUACCUGCUUGGAAGAGCAACGCACCCCUCCAACCGAAUCGUUUGACCAGCACGUCUGAGAUGGGCGCGAGCAGAAAGGCGCCGAUUCCG